UGCGUAGGUGGAAUGGUAAGUCAGUGGUGAAAGCCUGCAGCUUAACUGCAGAACUGCCAUUGAUACUGCCAAUCUUGAGUACAUUUGAAGUGGGCGGAAUGUGUCAUGUAGCGGUGAAAUGCUUAGAUAUGACACAGAACACCGAUUGCGAAGGCAGCUCACUAAACUGUUACUGACACUGAGGCACGAAAGCGUGGGGAUCAAACAGGAUUAGAUACCCUGGUAGUCC
rnacentral:rRNA from 1 species